GGACGCGGCGCGGCCGACCGGGACCCGGGAGUCCCCCCUCCUCGUCCCGGGGUGGGGGGGGGCGCAGCUCUGGCUGCUCCCGCAGCCGAACCCCCCCGCCGCCCUCCCCUCUAGGCUCCUGCCAAGAGGGGAGGGCGGGGAGGCACGCAGACCCAGAAGUAGGGGAGAAAGUUGCCGGUCUUCUCCGUGCUCCCGAGGGGCUGCGAAGACCAGACAAGUUCCCUGGUUGCAUUUCUGGGGCUGGGGUUUGCGGCUUAAGCGCCCGUUUCCUACCGGAGAUGCAGAUGAAAAGGAGCGCCUCAACACUGGGCAAAGUGACCCUUUGGAGCUUUGAGGAGGUCCUUGGGUUGGAGUCACUUUGGAAGGAGUUAGAAAAGCCAGUGUGGACUGAGAGAUAAGAACGGGAAGCCUAAGCUCAGGGAUUCUGUCUGGCAAGCUUCUUUCCAGACAGGCCAGGGAGAAGGCAGGGGGAGACUUCCAGCGAGCAAGCCUCUCCCCAGAGAUACCCUUUCUGGGAACCUCUUUCAAGCCAUUGUAUUCUCUCCCUCUUUAUCUCUCCCUCCCUUUCUCUUUUCUUUUUUCUCUUUCUCUUUCUGCCUCUCUUUCCCUCUCCCUCUCCGCCCUCCUCCCCUCCCGCCCUUCCCCUCCAUCUCUCCAACCAAUCACUCUUGGAAUCAGAACCAUUAGAUUUCUGUCUUAGCUUGCCCUUCUCACUCACCUCUCUGGAAGUUGAGAGCUACAUUCAGUAGAGGACUGUGGGCGUCUCUGUUGAAGACCAUAUUUGAAGAACCCCGCCGUGUAGGAAUAGCAGUAUGUGAAGCAGAUACUUCCCGGGAUAGUCUGUGAAGUGCUUUUUCAAAGGAGUUAGAAGUAAUAAAUGGCCUUGAAAACAGAUGUGAUGGCACCUAGAAGCACAGAAGCCAUUCUUCAGCUAUGAGAGGCACUGAAGAGAGGCUCCACUAGCUGAAAACUCAUCACGGUGCUCAGGACAGAGGAUGUAAAGUAAACAAUUGGAGAGCAUGCAGCUUUGCCAGACACGAGAGAUGAACUUUUUCCAUCUACAACAUACAGAAGAGGAAGCUGAGACUCCGAGAAGUUUCAUCCCACUCAAAGUCAGCAAAGGGAGGAGGAAGCCGUGCCACAGCCCAACCACAGGGCUCUUUCUAUACCCACAAGUUCGUCAGCUUUAAAUUCUAAUGGAAAUGAUUCUACUGGGCCUGACUGACCCAAUAUUGCUGGAUUCCACAUAUCCACGUGAUGCUGUCCCCUCUGUAUGAGGAUUUAAGUGUGGAAAAUUGUAAUGGAUGCCACAAGAAGAAAAAAAAUGGAAAUGGGAAAGAAUAAGUCAAAGUUCCAACAUUUACUCCCAGACUUCAUCAUGAAGUAAUAAAAUUCUC